UCAGGCAGCAUCUAUGGAGAAAGGAAAGUAAUACAGUACCAGAUUUAGAAACAUUGGUUUCUCGAAGACACAGCAGGAGGCCAUUUGAGCUAUUGUCAUUCAUUGUGGAUUUACAUCUCAGGAACAUGGCUGCAGUGAAAGAGAUGAGAGAAGGAAUAGGAAUACAUUGAACAGAAGGCACACAACAGAGCAUAUUAGCUACAUUUCUUGGUGACUUAAGAGUUGUCACCUGUAUUUUGGACAAGAAGAAUUA